rnacentral:rRNA from 1 species
AUUGAACGCUGGCGGCAUGCCUUACACAUGCAAGUCGAACGGUAACGCGGGGCAACCUGGCGACGAGUGGCGCACGGGGGAGUAAUGCACCUGAACGUGCGCAGAAGUGGGGGAUAUCCCGGCGAAAGCCGGAUUAAUACCGCAUGAGACCUGAGGGGGAAAACGGGGGAUCGCUAGACCUCGCGCUUUUGCAGCUGCCGAUGUCAGAUUAGCUAGUUGGUGGGGUAAAGGCCUACCAAGGCGACGAUCUGUAUCUGGUCUGAGAGGACGACCAGCCACACUGGGACUGAGACACGGCCCAGACUCCUACGGGAGGCAGCAGUGGGGAAUUUUGGACAAUGGGCGCAAGCCUGAUCCAGCCAUGCCGCGUGCGGGAAGAAGGUCUUCGGGUUGUAAAGCGCUUUAGGCAGGGAAGAAACGCAGUAGGCUAAUACCCUGCUGUAAUGACGGUACCUAAAGAAUAAGCACCGGCUAACUACGUG